UAAAAUACUGAACAUAUUACAGAGGAAUUUUCAGCUAUAUAAUUAUGGUGAACUGAAUAAAUUUGUAGUUUGAUUUUGUAAUUUCAUAAUACAUAUUUUUUGAUGCAGUUAACAAUGAAAAACAGUGACACUCUAAUAGAACCUAGUGCAGUGGUUCUCAAAGUGUGGUCCUUGGGCUGGUCCAAAAUGCAAGUCACAUCAAAAGUUCAAUUCUUCCCAUUAAAUCUGAUGAGUGACAAGUGAAAGUGGGUGGGGUAGGACCGGCAGAUGGUCCAUGUGGUCUUUUGCCUCGCCAUAGUGGUCUGCAGACGAAAACGUUUGAGAACCAAUAACCUAGUGCUGAGGCUAUUGUAAAUGGUUGGUUCAACAAAUAUUUUGUUGAGGUUGUAAUGGUGGAUUUCUCUUCUAAAUCUUUUUAAAUAUUGGUUACAGAUUGGGAGUUAAUUACUCUCUCACACAUAUUUAUACACAAGAUCAACUGUACAUCAUUCUUAAAUCCACUCCAAAUGCUAAUCACAGAAUUCCAUCACAACACCAUAGUCGCACACACUUGGUAUAGUUAUGUUAGAUGAGAUGCUAGAUUAAUAAUACUGUACGUUCUCUUGCUCUUUGUGGAUUUAACAUCACUCAAGAAUGGUUAUAACAUUGUUAGUUGGAAGUAGAGAUGGGCAAUUAUUGGAACUUGCUAAUUGAUUAUAUUCAAUUAAUCGACUGUUCUCCUAUGAAACUUGGAGAACUGGAAUAAUCAAAUAUAGUAAUAAUUAGAAACACUAAUUUUGAUUAGUUAUUUUCAUGAGUCAUGACAUUAAUUGAUUAC